UGAGGAAUAUUGGUCAAUGGGCGAGAGCCUGAACCAGCCAAGUAGCGUGCAGGAUGACGGCCCUAUGGGUUGUAAACUGCUUUUAUAUGGGAAUAAAGUGAGGGACGUGUCACUUAUUGCAUGUACCAUACGAAUAAGGACCGGCUAAUUCCGUGCCAGCAGCCGCGGUAAUACGGAAGGUCCAGGCGUUAUCCGGAUUUAUUGGGUUUAAAGGGAGCGUAGGCUGUUUGUUAAGCGUGUUGUGAAAUGUAGGAGCUCAACUUUUAGAUUGCAGCGCGAACUGGCAGACUUGAGUGCGCACAACGUAGGCGGAAUUCAUGGUGUAGCGGUGAAAUGCUUAGAUAUCAUGACGAACUCCGAUUGCGAAGGCAGCUUACGGGAGCGCAACUGACGCUAAAGCUCGAAGGUGCGGGUAUCGAACAGG
rnacentral:rRNA from 1 species